rnacentral:rRNA from 1 species
GAUGAACGCUGGCGGCGUGCCUAAUACAUGCAAGUCGAGCGAACGGACGAGAAGCUUGCUUCUCUGAUGUUAUCGGCGGACGGGUGAGUAACACGUGGAUAACCUACCUAUAAGACUGGGAUAACUUCGGGAAACCGGAGCUAAUACCGGAUAAUAUUUUGAACCGCAUGGUUCAAAAGUGAAAGACGGUCUUGCUGUCACUUAUAGAUGGAUCCGCGCUGCAUUAGCUAGUUGGUAAGGUAACGGCUUACCAAGGCAACGAUGCAUAGCCGACCUGAGAGGGUGAUCGGCCACACUGGAACUGAGACACGGUCCAGACUCCUACGGGAGGCAGCAGUAGGGAAUCUUCCGCAAUGGGCGAAAGCCUGACGGAGCAACGCCGCGUGAGUGAUGAAGGUCUUCGGAUCGUAAAACCCUGUUAUUAGGGAAGAACAUAUGUGUAAGUAACUGUGCACAUCUUGACGGUACCUAAUCAGAAAGCCACGGCUAACUACGUG